GACGAACGCUGGCGGCGUGCUUAACACAUGCAAGUCGAACGGUAAGGCCCUUCGGGGUACACGAGUGGCGAACGGGUGAGUAACACGUGGGUGAUCUGCCCUGCACUUCGGGAUAAGCCUGGGAAACUGGGUCUAAUACCGGAUAGGACCACUGCCUGCAUGGGUGGUGGUGGAAAGCUUUUGCGGUGUGGGAUGGGCCCGCGGCCUAUCAGGUUGUUGGUGGGGUGAUGGCCUACCAAGGCGAAGACGGGUAGCCGGCCUGAGAGGGUGACCGGCCACACUGGGACUGAGAUACGGCCCAGACUCCUACGGGAGGCAGCAGUGGGGAAUAUUGCACAAUGGGCGCAAGCCUGAUGCAGCGACGCCGCGUGAGGGAUGACGGCCUUCGGGUUGUAAACCUAUUUCAGCACCGACGAAGCGCAAGUGACGGUAGGUGCAGAAGAAGGACCGGCCAACUACGUGCCAGCCGCCGCAGUAA
rnacentral:rRNA from 1 species